GCUCUCGUAGCUCAGUUGGUAGAGCGCACCCUUGGUAAGGGUGAGGUCGGCAGUUCAAAUCUGCUCGAGAGCUCCA
rnacentral:tRNA from 1 species